rnacentral:rRNA from 1 species
AUGCAUAUUUUAGAAAUUGCAAGGUGCAUAAUGUUUGCCAUGAAUGUUCCAAAGUACUUGUGGAGUGAAGCAGUGAUGACUGCAGCUUAUUUGAUGAAUAGGAUGCCUUCUCGGGUGCUUGGUUACAAGACACCAAUAGAGUGUCUCACUGGGAGAACUACAUAUGUAGUUCCACCAAAGGUGUUCGGGUGUACAUGUUUUGUAAAGGACUAUAGGCCUUCGGUUGGGAAGCUAGAUCCAAUAGCAGUAAAGUGUAUUUUUGUGGGGUAUUCUAGUAAACAGAAGGGCUAUAAAUGUAGGUGCCCAUCCGAGAAGAGAAUGUUUGUGAGUAUGGAUGUGGUAUUUCGUGAACAUAAACCAUUUUAUGGGGAAUCAGUCGACUUAUCUGAUGUAUUUCCCGAUUCGUUUACUGAUGACCUCUUAGGUGCAGACUAUGAGACAGGGGGAGAUAAAUAA